rnacentral:rRNA from 1 species
UACAGAGGGCUCAAGCGUUGUCCGGAUUUAUUGGGCGUAAAGAGCGUGUAGGCGGCUUGGUAGGUCCGCUGUGAAAACUCGAGGCUCAACCUCGAGAUGUCGGCGGAAACCACUUGGCUAGAGUCCGGAAGAGGAGAGUGGAAUUCCUGGUGUAGCGGUGAAAUGCGCAGAUAUCAGGAAGAACACCUAUGGCGAAGGCAGCUCUCUGGGACGGUACUGACGCUGAGACGCGAAAGCGUGGGGAGCGAACAGG